UAGACACUAGCACCAGACCGUUGCCCUCUAAUCCUCCCUCACAGUUCUCAGGUAGGACCUAAAGACAAACGGCUCAUACCGUUUUUAUGAAAGUUUUGCUUGCAGGUCCAAUGCGGCCAUUAAUCACCAACCAAUCCCGAAUCGGUGUGCUCUUAUCUCCCGCCCUAUUGCCGACACCUUAUUGGUGUAGGACGCCGGGCGGUGCUGCCAUUCAUGACCUACAUAAAUAAUUAGAAGGAGACAAUGAGAGACAGCAGAGUGAGGUUAGGGUUAGGGUUAGGGUGAAGAGAAUAGGUUGGGGUUAGGGUGAAGAGAAUAGGUUAGGAUUAGGGUUAGGUUAGGGUGAAGAGAAUAGGUUAGGGUUAGGUUAGGGUGAAGAGAAUAGGUUAGGAUUAGGGUGAAGAGAAUAGGUUAGGAUUAGGGUUAGGUUAGGGUGAAGAGAAUAGGUUAGGAUUAGGGUUAGGUUAGGGUGAAGAGAAUAGGUUAGGAUUAGGGUUAG
ensembl:lncRNA